rnacentral:rRNA from 1 species
AUUGAACGCUGGCGGCAGGCUUAACACAUGCAAGUAGAACGAGUGGCGGACGGGUGAGUAAUGCUUGGGAAUCUAGCUUAUGGAGGGGGAUAACUACGGGAAACAGUAGCUAAUACCGCGUACCAUAGGAUGAGCCCAAGUGGGAUUGGGUAGUUGGUGAGGUAAAGGCUCACCAAGCCGACGAUCGCUAGCUGGUCUGAGAGGAUGACCAGCCACACUGGGACUGAGACCCGGCCCGGAUUCCUACGGGAGGCAGCAGUGGGAAAUAGUGCGCAAUGGGGGCAACCCUGACGCAGCCAUGCCGCGUGAAUGAAGAAGGCCUUCGGGUUGUAAAGUACUUUCAGUCGGGAGGCGUUACCGACAGAAGAAGCACCGGCUAACUCCGUGCCAGCCGCCGCGGUAAUAC